rnacentral:lncRNA from 1 species
UAUACCUAAAUUAUUUAAUUGUGUUGAAGGAUGGAUUUGCUGAAACCAGAGUUUACAUUGACGACUUCGAGAGUUUUGAGUAUUUGAAUGAGAAAAAAUACUUAUAUGUUAAUAUUGAAUGGGACGAUGAAACCCAAAUGGGAACCGUUACGUAAGUUUAAUAAAUUACGGCUCUAUGUUAUACAUAUAUUCAUAUUAAUCAAUUGUUUCUUGCAGUCCUAUCGAUGGAGCCAGCGACUCGAGCGAAUUUACAUUCGAAAUUGAAUCAGUGAUAAUUUAUCGAAAUAAUGGAGAUGGAACUCACAGCAAGCAAACAAUAAAGCAGACUCGUGAUGGCGUUCCUUUAGUAAAUUUCAAUGUUUUAGAAGGUCCUCUUUUAUUGUCAAUUUAAAUAAAAUGAUCACGUAAAUAAUCCGAUUUAAUUUGAGUUUAAUUACAUUGCUGUGUAGCUGGCGUUU